rnacentral:rRNA from 1 species
GACGUGACUUCAGAGUUUGAUCCUGGCUCAGGACGAACGCUGGCGGCGUGCUUAACACAUGCAAGUCGAGCGGGGAUUAAGGAAGUGCUUGCACGGAAUUAAUUCUAGCGGCGGACGGGUGAGUAACGCGUGAACAAUCUGUCCUGCACAGGGGGAUAACGGAUGGAAACAUCCGCUAAUACCGCAUAAGACCACGGGAUCACAUGUUUCUGGGGUAAAAGAUUUAUCGGUGCAGGGUGAGUUCGCGUCCGAUUAGCUAGUUGGUGAGGUAACGGCCCACCAAGGCGACGAUCGGUAGCCGACCUGAGAGGGUGAUCGGCCACAUUGGAACUGAGACACGGUCCAA